CUCUCUAGAAACAUCUUCACUAUCAUGGGAUAACACUAAUAAAGAAGCCCAAGCUUCAUGGUUGUUAUAAUAGUUCUAGAAAAGAUGCAGAGAAUGAGACAGGUGCCAAAUGCACUGGCGUUGGUGACAAAUCAGAACCCUGUGUCAGCAGGGAGCAAGCUGUUCUCGUUGAGUUGUGCUCAGUGUUGUAUCAUCAUCAGUUUGCUUUUCAGGAUGCUGUAAGGAGCAGUGCCAGGAGACACACUGCCUUGUCACUGUUCUUACUCUUGGGAUGUUGGUGAGGAUGUGGCUCUUUGCCUUACACAGCAUCUUCUUCAUCAAGGUCCCCAGGUAGAGAACUCCUUUCAAGCUCAUAAUUAGGACUAGUUACAUUUCUGAGUGUCUUGGUUAGUUUCCAUCUUCUGGGUAAGUGUCGUGACAAAACAAAGCAAAAUUCCUUCUGGGUUGGCUUUGUGAUUCACACCAGCAAGUGUACUGAAAGUUAAGGUUAGCAUGUUUGAGAACCUGUGUUCAUUUUACUUCUAGUUUCACAUUUUUCUGUCUAGUUUCAUUUCUUUUACUCCAUGUUUUAAAAUAUACUGCAUUACUUAGGACCCCUAGUUGAGAAUGGCUAGGAAUUCAAAUAGGGAAACAGGGACGGUAUUAUGUCUAAUAAUUAGUGAAGCUUCAUCCAUGGCUGGGUUUGGGGUUUUUUUUCUUCCCUGCUACAUAACCUUGCUCCUUUCUGAGACUCUGGCCUCCCCUUACCCACCCCUACAGGGUGCUGGCAGCACAGGCUGGUGCUGUCUGGAGACAGAAAUUCCAGUAGAAUAUUUCUUUCAUCCCAGAAUCCAGACAAAUUUCCCAAGUGCUGCUCGUCACACCGCUUCUAAGGUCUCACAGAAUGCCCAGUUGAUUGGUAUGCUGCCCCCCCCCCCCGUAACACAGAUCAAUGAGCCUA
rnacentral:lncRNA from 1 species